GACAGAGGCCUCAAGCGUUAGGCGGAAUCACUGGGCUUAAAGCGUGUGUAGGCGGAUCGUUAAGUGUCUUGUGAAAUCCCACGGCUCACCCGUGGAACGGCUGGGCAUACUGGCGAUCUUGGGCCAACUAGGGGGCAACUGGAACAGGCGGUGGAGCGGUGAAAUGCGUAGAUAUCGCUUGGAACGCCGAAGGUGAAAACAGGUUGCUGGGGUUGUGCCGACGCUGAGACACGAAAGCCAGGGGAGCAAACGGGG
rnacentral:rRNA from 1 species